GAGUUUGAUCAUGGCUCAGAUUGAACGCUGGCGGCAUGCCUUACACAUGCAAGUCGAACGGCAGCAUGAUCUAGCUUGCUAGAUUGAUGGCGAGUGGCGAACGGGUGAGUAAUACAUCGGAACGUGCCCUGUAGUGGGGGAUAACUAGUCGAAAGAUUAGCUAAUACCGCAUACGACCUGAGGGUGAAGGUGGGGGACCGCAAGGCCUCAUGCUAUAGGAGCGGCCGAUGUCUGAUUAGCUAGUUGGUGGGGUAAAGGCCCACCAAGGCGACGAUCAGUAGCUGGUCUGAGAGGACGAUCAGCCACACUGGGACCGAGACACGGCCCAGACUCCUACGGGAGGCAGCAGUGGGGAAUUUUGGACAAUGGGCGAAAGCCUGAUCCAGCAAUGCCGCGUGUGUGAAGAAGGCCUCGGUGU
rnacentral:rRNA from 1 species